UACGUAGGGGCCAAGCGUUGUCCGGAUUUAUUGGGCGUAAAGAGCGUGUAGGCGGCUUGGUAGGUCUCGCGUCAAAACCUGAGGCUCAACCUCAGUUCGCGUGGGAAACCACCUAGCUAGAGUCCGGAAGAGGAGAACGGAAUUCCCAGUGUAGCGGUGAAAUGCGCAGAUAUUGGGGAGAACACCAGUGGCGAAGGCGGUUCUCUGGGACGGUACUGACGCUGAGACGCGAAAGCGUGGGGAGCGAACAGG
rnacentral:rRNA from 1 species